rnacentral:rRNA from 1 species
AGCAGCCGCGGUAAUUCCAGCUCCAAUAGCGUAUAUUAAAGUUGUUGCAGUUAAAAAGCUCGUAGUUGAAUUUCGGGAUCAAUACGUCGGUCGUGCUUUUGGGUACGUACUGGCGUUAUUAGUUUCUCUCUUCUGACGAACCAUGAUGUCAUUAAUUUGGUGUUAUGGGGAGUUAGGACUGUUACUUUGAAAAAAUUAGAGUGUUUAAAGCAGGCAUUAGCUUGAAUACGUUAGCAUGGAAUAAUGAAAUAGGACGUUUGAUCCUAUUUUGUUGGUUUCUAGGAUCGACGUAAUGAUUAAUAGGGAUAGUUGGGGGCAUUAGUAUUCAAUUGUCAGAGGUGAAAUUCUUGGAUUUAUUGAAGACUAACUACUGCGAAAGCAUUUGCCAAGGAUGUUUUCAUUAAUCAAGAACGAAAGUUAGGGGAUCGAAGACGAUCAGAUACCGUCGUAGUCUUAACCAUAAACUAUGCCGACUAGGGAUCGGAUGAUGUAAUUUUUUAAUGACUCAUUCGGCGCCUUA